rnacentral:lncRNA from 1 species
CCAAGACCCUCAAAUCCCCCCCAGGACCCCAAAUCCCCCCCCUGCUCCCACCUUCCCGGCCCCACUUCAUGGUGCUCAGUGCUAUGGGGUCGGCCACGCCCUAUAGGGCCUCUCCCCCCCCUCCAACCCCCCACCCCCAUAAAGCACCCUCCUAUGGGGGCCACACCCACCAGGGCCACCCAUGGCCACUGCCCACGUCCCCAAUGGCCCCAAUGUCCCCAUGUCCAUAAUGGCCCCAUGUCCAUAAUGGCCCCAUGUCCAUAAUGGCCCCAGUGUCCCCAUGUCUAUAAUGGCCCCAAUGGCCCCAAUGUCUCCAUGUCCAUAAUGGCCCCACAUCCCCAAUGACCCCAUGUCCAUAAUGGCCCCAAUGUCCCCAAUGUCCCCAUGUCCAUAAUGGCCCCAAUGGCCCCAUGUCCAUAAUGGCCCCAAUGUCCCCAAUGUCCCCACGUCCCCAAUGGCCCCAUGUCCAUAAUGUCCCCAUGUCCAUAAUGGCCCCAAUGUCCCCAAUGUCCCCAUGUCCAUAAUGGCCCCUCAUCCCCAAUGGUGUCCCCAUGUCCACAACGUCCCAAUGUCCCCACAUCCCCAAUGUCCCCAUGUCCAUAAUGUCCCCAAUGUCCCCACGUCCCCAAUGUCCCCAUGUCCAUAAUGGCUCCACAUCCCCAUUAUGGACAUGGGGACAUCAUGUCCCCAAUGUCCCCACGUCCAUAAUGUCCCCAUGUCCAUAAUGGCCCCAAUGUCCCCACAUCCCCAGUGUCCCCACGUCCAUAAUGGCCCGAAUGGCCCCAAUGUGCCCAUGUCCAUAAUGGCCCCACGUUCAUAAUGUCCCCAAUGUCCCCACAUCCCCAAUGUCCCCAUGUCCAUAAUGUCCCCAUGUCCAUAAUGGCCCCAAUGUCCCCACGUCCCCAAUGUCCCCAUGUCCAUAAUGUUCUCAUGUCCAUAAUGGCCCCACUGUCCCCAUUGUCCCCAAACCCCCAAUGUCCCCAUGUCCAUAAUGUCCCCAAUGUCCCCACGUCCCCAGUGGCCCCAUGUACAUAAUGGCCCCAUGUCCCCAAUGUCCCCAGUGUCCCCAUGUCCCCCCCCAUGUCCCACUGUCCCCAUACAGCUGGCAGUGCCACGUGUCCCGCCCCCCCC